GUCCCCUUCGUCUAGGGGUCAGGACAACGCUUUUUCAUGGCGUAGACACGGGUUCGAAUCCCGUAGGGGAUA
rnacentral:tRNA from 1 species